rnacentral:rRNA from 1 species
UACGUAGGGAGCAAGCGUUGUCCGGAAUCAUUGGGCGUAAAGCGCGCGUAGGUGGCUCUAUAAGUCCGUUGUGAAAGUCAAAGGCUCAACCUUUGAAAGCCGAUGGAUACUGUGGAGCUAGAGUACGGAAGAGGCGAGUGGAAUUCCUGGUGUAGCGGUGGAAUGCGCAGAUAUCAGGAGGAACACCAAUAGCGAAGGCAGCUCGCUGGGACGUUACUGACGCUGAGGCGCGACAGCGUGGGGAGCAAACAGG